rnacentral:rRNA from 1 species
ACUCCUACGGGAGGCAGCAGUGGGGAAUAUUGGACAAUGGACCAAAAGUCUGAUCCAGCAAUUCUGUGUGUUUGAUGAAGGCCUUCGGUUGUAAGAACUUUCAGUGGGAAGGAAGCAAGUGACGGUACCCACCAGAAGAAGCGACGGCUAAAUACGUGCCAGCAGCCGCGGUAAUACGUAUGUCGCAAGCGUUAUCCGGAAUUAUUGGGCAUAAAGGGCGUCUAGGCGGUCUAAUAAGUCUGAUGUGAAAAUGCGGGGCUCAACUCCGUAUUGCGUUGGAAACUGUUAGACUAGAGUUUUGGAGAGGUAGGCGGAACUACAAGUGUAGAGGUGAAAUUCGUAGAGAUUUGUAGGAAUGCCGAUGACGAAGGUAGCUUACUGGACAAAUACUGACGCUGAAGCGCGAAAGCUAGGGGAGCAAACAGGAUUAGAUACCCUGGUA